ACGCACGCUGGCGGCGUGCUUAACACCUGCAAGUCGAACGGAAAGGCCCUGCUUUUGUGGGGUGCUCGAGUGGCGAACGGGUGAGUAACACGCGAGUAACCUGCCCUUGACUUUGGGAUAACUUCAGGAAACUGGGGCUAAUACCGGAUAGGAGCUCCUGCUGCAUGGUGGGGGUUGGAAAGUUUCGGCGGUUGGGGAUGGACUCGCGGCUUAUCAGCUUGUUGGUGGGGUAGUGGCUUACCAAGGCUUUGACGGGUAGCCGGCCUGAGAGGGUGACCGGCCACAUUGGGACUGAGAUACGGCCCAGACUCCUACGGGAGGCAGCAGUGGGGAAUAUUGCACAAUGGGCGGAAGCCUGAUGCAGCAACGCCGCGUGCGGGAUGACGGCCUUCGGGUUGUAAACCGCUUUCGCCUGUGACGAAGCGUGAGUGACGGUAAUGGGUAAAGAAGCACCGGCUAACUACGUG
rnacentral:rRNA from 1 species